UUUCUCAAUCAUCUUCAUCGAAAUUCAAGAUUGACAUUUUUUUAAUCUCAAAGUCUAACUAAGCCAAAUCUCUCUUUAAAUAGCCAAUUUAUUCCAUGUUUAGAACAUAAGCAAAGCAAAAUCAUUGAAGAAGAAGAAGGCACACUUGGAGUCAGUGUGAAAAGUGUUCAUCAUCGAUGAAGGAUCGGAAAGACAAAAGGCGGCAGACACUGACGCUCUGUUGCGCAAAUCUUAACUUGAAUGAAAAUAAAAACAAGAAGAUCAAUAAAGAGGAAUCUGGUGGUGGUCAUAGUGGUAUUAUCAGCAGCAGCACUCGGCGCGAUGGACUUUUCUCUGCGAUUUUCGGGGAGAGAAGUGGGCGAUCCUCAGUGUUUCUCUGUUGCUCCCAGAUUCAGGGCUCAUCAUCUCCCCCAAUGUCCCCUCUCGCCCCCAAACCUGAUGAUUCUUUCGGUUUGUCACCGAAGCAAGGUGCAUUGUCUGUAAUGGUGCCGCCCGUGGAGGAUGUGAAGAAUCAUAAAGUAAAAUAGCUUUUGGAGCUAUAUAUAUUUAUAAUAAUGUUAUAAUAUAUAAUUACACUUAUAUAUUAUAACGGAUUUAUUAUCUCAUAUAUUAUUAUUAUAUUAGCUUGAGAAACGUUGUGUUAUUUUAUUUAGGUAAGAAAAAGAAAAAAAAUAGUUAUGCUUUCUUAUUAUUAUAUUUGGAUGAAUAAAAAAAAAAUUACACGUGUAAUAGAGAUAUGAGUAUUUUUUUUUUUUUUGAUGAAUGACGUGUAAUAGGGCACAAACAUUACCAAUUCCCACUUCUCUCUCUACCUCUCCUAGGGUUUCUUUGAAGGCGUUGCUCGGGGCAGGAGAGGGGGGCUCCGAUCUCUGGCAGCCUCUCCCCUCAUUUUUGCCCCUCAUCUCUUUCGUUUUUAUUGUCCUUUUUGGCUCAAUAAUACUUUGGAAGCUUAGUCUUUCCAUUUCUCUCUCCAUGUGAGGUCCUUUUCCCCAUCUUGGUAGAACUCUACUCUUCAUUCUCAUUCUUCUCAGACUUCCCCAACCAGGGUCUCACUGGAUCUGCCAAUCUCAUCCUCCGUCUUCCGUCCGUGCCGCCUCCACCCUACCAAAUCUGUCGGAUCGUCCGUCUCCUAAGUAUGUUGGGCAUUAGAUCUGCUCCUCCUACCACCUCCCCAUCAUCAGAUUUGCCAUGGAUCCUGGAAUGGAAGUCCUUUUUUUUUUUCCUCAGUUUUUGCUUGUGGAUUUGGGGUCAUCUGUGCUUAGAUUGUGGCUUUUCAAACUUUGUGGUUGAAAUAUAUGAUUUAUUUUAGACAGGCUCUACUGUCGAUUUUGAUCGGCUUUGCUUUUGCAGUAUGAGCCCAAGCACAUGAUGUGCGUCUGAAUAUUUUCAUAUUUUUUCUUCAAAGUGCUUCUUGUAAUUUUCUUUUCUCUGUUUUGUUGUAAGCUUGGUCGUUUGAUGGCCCUUGUAAAUGCCGUUUUUGGCUUCCAUUAAUGGAUUUCUACUGAUCAAAAAAAAAAAAAAAA